CUCGUGAGUCCAUGUGCUGUUCACAAACGAUUGCAGUAUGCCCAUCGACUUGAUAUCCCUUGGCCGGCGGAAGGUUUUUCCCGCUGGGUUGGCAGAGGUGCGCUCAUCGACGCCUACCGACACUGCUCGGCUGAUUUCAUCGCCUCGAUCCUGCUCUUCUGGCAACGCUGACCCGGCGUUUCAGCAUAAAACGCCCACUUAACCCAGACCGCAUCGCAGUUGGCAGCGAUACAUUGGCCUGUUAAACUGAUCGCCUGUACUUCCACAGACACAUCGACUGACAAUGCAAUGGCCCUGUUCCGUUUGAAAGUGAAGCCCGUUUGAGAGUGAAGCCCGAGUUCACAUCGUUAGAGCAGGCGCCGACCAAGAGUGAUGGGCGAAGACGAAGAACCGACUCGCCACGUGCUCUUCCGUGUAGACGGCCGACGGUUUUUCCCCGUGUACGUGCGCUGCACCGGGAGACUCUUUCCGGGCGCGGAGCGGGAUCUUGGCGGAAGCAGCCGCAACUGACUGAAAGCUCCUCGGUGCGUUGGCGGGCGUGUCUCAAGGUCUCUUUGCGAACCUCGUGUGUUCCCGAGAAAGCCAGUUGUCGGUGCUCGUCAUAACGGCCCACCUUGACGAAGCCCGGGAACGGAAACGCCAUUCAGUUGAACUGAGUUCACUUCAGGUUCAUUUAUCUUCCGAAAAAUUGGUGCGGGUCAUCCAGGCGACAGGAGGUGCCGUAUGAAAACUUUAAGGAUGUCCGGAAGAUCGUACAUAAAACACAUUUCACAUCAGGUUAGCGCAACCACACUGUUCGGGGUCGCGGACAUCCACACAAAAUAAUUUAAUAUCGUUAAGAAAUUAUCUAGUAUGCCAACUGAGACAACAGUUGAACCGACAAACAGGUGUUACCACAUAAGUAAAAAAAUACAAAUGAAACUCAUAAUUUAUAUAGUAGGAAGAGGCAACACUCGACACGUACUAUGUGCAUCAGAAAAAUUGCUGUUACUGAUUAUUUAGUUCAUACA